rnacentral:lncRNA from 1 species
AACACUUUCGAAUCUUAAUCAUAAGAUUAAGCACAAGUGUAAAGUAUUUGCAUUUUAGUCCCUGAACUUUCACUUUUCUCCAUUUUGGUCCUUUUUCGCUCUUUUCUCUUAAUUUUUGCCAUAUUCAUUCAUUUGCAACCUAAAUCAAAAUAUAAGGAUACUUAGUGUAUUUAGGCAUCAAUAAAUCAUGCAAAUGCAAGUAUAAAUGAAUGAAUUACUUAACAAUUUGUGAUAUUAUCAGGAACAUUCAUAUUUUUCAUUCACAUUUUUGUUGGAUUUUUAUAGGCUUAUUUUAAAAGUGAUGAUGAACUAUGAAUGGAGUUAUCGACAAGCAUUUGGAUAGGAAUAAUGUUCAAAUUAUUUGACAAGAAGAAUUCUAAGCUAGAUCUUAUGGUUAGGACAUAAACUGCAAUUUGUGAGUACAAGCCAUUUCCUUGGGAGUUGACUAAAUUUUCAAAUAUUAUAUCGGCUUCGAGUUUUG